rnacentral:lncRNA from 1 species
GAUCUCUCUCACUGUUCUCCCACCGAUUCACUUCCGACUCACCCCGAAACAACCUUCAUGUCCACCAUCAUCUACUUGUCAAAUACACAUGACCGACCACCGCAUCUAACAUAAGAUUUCGUCGAUGUAUUCCACUUCCUUCACCAUACCACGACAUCGCCGUAUGAAUAAACUCAGUAACCAUGCUCCACGACGUCAACCUUCAAGCAACCAUGCUGACGAGGUUGAGUCACUUCGCCGAGUUUGUUCUUGCAAGUUUAGGGGAAGAUUUAUUUCAGUUCGAUCAUGUUUAC